rnacentral:lncRNA from 1 species
AUGUCACCAAAGCUAAUACAAACACUCAAAGACAGGAUCAUGUCACCAAAUGCUAAUUACAAACACUCAAAGACAGCUCAUGUCACCAAAGCUAAUACAAACACUCAAAGACAGCUCAUGUCACCAAAGCUAUACAACACCAGAAGUCGUCCAAGCUAUACAAACACUCAAAGACAGCUCAUGUCACCAAAGCUAAUACAAACACUCAAAGACAGCUCAUGUCACCAAAGCUAAUACAAACACUAAAAGCAUGCAAUCAUCGGCUUGCAGACAGCUCAUGUCCCAAAGCUAAUACAAACACUCAAAGCAGCAAUCAUCGGCUUGCAGACAGCUCAUGUCACCAAAGCUAAUACAAACACUCAAAAGCAAUGCAAUAUCGGCUUGCAGACAGCUCAUGUCACCAAAGCUAAUACAAACACUCAAAGCAUACAAUCAUCGGCUUGCAGACAGCUCAUGUCACCAAAGCUAAUACAAACACUCCAAGCAUACAAUCAUCGGCUUGCAGGACAGCUCAUGUCACCAAAGCUAUAAACAAACACUCAAAGCAUGCAAAUAUCGGCUUGCAGACAGCUCAUGUCACCAAAGCUAAUACAAACACUCAAAGCAUGCAAUCAUCGGCUUGCAGACAGCUCAUGUCACCAAAGCUAAUACAAACAUCAAAAGCAUGCACAUCGGCUUGCAGACAGCUCAUGUCACCAAAGCUAAUACAAACACUAAAACAUGCAAUCAUCGGCUUGCAGACAGCUCAUGUCACCAAAGCUAAUACAAAACACUAAAGCAUUGCAAUCAUCGGCUUGAAGAACCAGCUCAUGUCACCAAAGCUAAUACAAACACUAAAAGCAUGCAAUCAUCGGCUUGCAGACAGCUCAUGUCACCAAAGCUAAUACAAACACUAAAAGCAUGCAAUAGACAACUAUGAAUUCAUUCUAAAUACAGAACAGUACACCAGUCUCUGUGUAACGAUAUCAGUUUUGUUUGAACCUGUUGCUAUGGAUUGUCGUCUAGGACAGGAGAUUGAGUGAGCUAUACUCAAUCUUGCCCUCUUCAUCUGAUUUUAGGUAAUGUCAUCUGAUGGACGUCUCUAGACUAUAUGCUCAGUUUCAGACACAGUGUCUAUUCCCCCAAGUUGAAAAGGACAUCAGUUUAGUGAAAGAGUUACUUAUGUUCAACUAGUGCUUGAGAAUCUGUGUCAUUAGAGUAACUGUUAUCAAAGUAAAUGACAUUUAAAUUCCAUUCAAAACAUUAUUUUAUUUUAUUUAGAAACUAAAUGUUCUUUAUCUAAAAGCCAUCCAUUGUUACAUGUCCAUUCACUAACUACAUACAGGCUCUUCUAGCCAUUCUCCUCAAGAUAGCAGCUUGACUUUAAUAACUGGAAUUAAGAGAGUCAGUUGGUCGCCGACUGAAUUGAUUUAUAAAUAAAUACUUAAAUUCAUGUAGAAAUCUAUGGGAAAAAAAUAGUUGGUUCAACAACUUAAGAUGAAUGAAUACUGAGAGAACUACCUUUCAUUUGCAAUUAGGAUAGAUCGAUUCACAUGAACAUCUGGAUGAUAUGAACAUAAAUAAAAACUAAACAAAAGCACUGGAUUACAUUUUCUAUCUGCUAAUGAGUGGUUCGACCACCUUGACUGGUUGGUCCUGAAAUUCACACACUUAUGGGUCAGACGUCUAUUCAGACGUAUAUAGCAUUUCUCAAGUCAUGUAACAAGAAUCAACGUGUUCUAGUAAACGAACAUAAAACAUUUCCCUUACAAAAACAGAACAAAAAAAGGAAUCAAUAAAUAUGCACUGUCAUAAAUAAAAGUGGUACAUAAAAACAAUAGAAAUAACAGGUCAAUUAACACCUUAAGUAUGGUAUGAAAAGAUGAACAAGUCUGAUGAUGUAAGGGUCUCAUAAUAAACUCAAUAACUGGAGUUUAAAGCUCUUGCUGAAGAGACUCAAGGCUAGGGACUUGGCUUCCCUCUUCCCAAAGUGUUGGGUAGUUGCUGCGUUCACAUGCUAGUCGGAAAGUCAGACAUUUCCCGACUUCCUAAUUGGUUGUAGUUAUACACAUGCCGCGUUCAACCAGUUAGCAAGUUGGACAUUCCCGAGCUUCCUAGUUCCGACUAGCACGUAAAUGCGGCAUGAGACAGUAGGCGGCCAACGUAUGUAAUGUGGGGGGUAAUAAGAGUCAGCAGUAACAGAAAUGAAAAGUUCUGUUGUUUAUUAAACAGAACCAGGUCACAGACCUCCCCCCUCUCUAAAUCAAUGUCCCGGUACUUUGCUACACAGUGAAGUCUUAAGCCAGCAUCAUCUUUACAAUGAGCUCACUAAGUCUAUAAUGACAAAACUGUGACCAAAUUAGGGAAAGAAACCCUCUUCUCUAGGCCAAUAGCAGUUGACGGUGACGUUUGGUUGCUUCAGAUGUCUCUGGAGAGAUCUCCUCUCUGGAGAGGAUCAUUGUUGUACUUGUUGUACUUUUUUUGGCACAGCUAUUUUUGACUCCUCUCAAAUGAUUUUGGUUUGACAAUGAUCUCUUGAAUCCUGUUUGUUUUUCAGUUGAAAUCACAUACGCCAAAGAUGAGAAAAAGGAACUGAAAAUGAGUGUUCAUGCUAUCCACAAGGCAGAGUGAGUCAUUAUGACAGAAGUUCUCUACUCUAGAACCCUUGGGUACACAAUGCAGAAACAGACAGAGAAGUAGACUGGUGACCCACCUGACCACCAGAGGGUUCAUGGGUUAUAUUUGCAUCACUUAGCAAAGCUACAGUAAGACUAUGGGUGAGAUCCAGGUCCUAGGACUGCCCGUCUCGCUGUUUCUCUACUCCCACUAGGUAACAUUCAGAGAGACAGAGGCAAGGCAUUUUCAAUUCAGCUCCCUUCGGACAGUUGGAGUUUAGCAAGAUCACAGUUUUUACAUCGUCGCCUGUAGACGAUGUGUACAUUUGAAAAAUAUAGAUGACAUAUCAAAAAUCGAAAUCAGAUCUUUACAAGUGUGAUGCCUGUCCCCAAGGUCUGCAUUAAAGUCAUAAAUAAGCAUACAUUCUUUGAGUUUAAGGUUUUUGACUUAAUUUUUCACCCAACAAAGAGCCUAAUUGUUUCUUUGAAUUGAGUCUCAAGUAGUCAAUUUUCUGAAAAACAAAACGCAGUAAAUUCAAGGGCAAAUCAAAUCGAUUUUGAAAACAGUUGUGACAUGUUUAGAGCACGACUACUAUAUAAAAUAAUAUUCAGUAGCAUAUAAUGACAAUGAAGAACAAUAUCAUGUAACUGAUAUUUUGCGCCAUACAAUAAUUACUACCAACUACGUAUAUAAAAUCUAUUGUCAGUUAGUUAUUAACCUAGUCUGUCAUCAACCGCUGGGAAUUUGUUUUUUUAAUAGAAGACAAAGAAGUGAUUUGCAGGUCCAAACCCAGCAGUCUCUUGCUUCAGUGAUUUGCAAAAGCCAGUACAGGACAACAUUUUGGAAGCCCCAAGUUCAUUUUUCUUCAUCACAUAAGUUUAGAUUUGCCUUUUUUUAAAUGUUUAAAUAAGAUAUUCAGCAUAAGGAUUUGGUGCUUUGUCCAGUCUGUUAUAUUCCAACACAGAUUCUCGUUUUCUGAAAGGUGUGCAUGUUGCAUUUAGGAUGGGGAAUAGGUCUAGUGGAGGUGGUGGGCUUGGUUGUCCCUUCCCUUUCUCUUCAGCUUUCCUAGCCCCAGCAACUCUACUAACUGUCCCCUACAACCCACAUGCCUC